rnacentral:rRNA from 1 species
UACGGAGGGUGCGAGCGUUGUCCGGAAUCAUUGGGCGUAAAGGGCGCGUAGGUGGCGGGACAAGCGUGCGGUGAAAGCCUGGGGCUCAACCCCGGGUCGGCCGUGCGAACUGUUUUGCUUGAGCACUGUAGAGGCAGGCGGAAUUCCGGGUGUAGCGGUGGAAUGCGUAGAGAUCCGGAAGAACACCGGUGGCGAAGGCGGCCUGCUGGGCAGUAGCUGACGCUGAGGCGCGACAGCGUGGGGAGCAAACAGG